UACGAAGGGUGCAAGCGUUACUCGGAAUUACUGGGCGUAAAGCGUGCGUAGGUGGUGGUUUAAGUCUGUUGUGAAAGCCCUGGGCUCAACCUGGGAAUUGCAGUGGAUACUGGGUCACUAGAGUGUGGUAGAGGGUAGCGGAAUUCCCGGUGCAGCAGUGAAAUGCGUAGAGAUCGAGAGGAACAUCCGUGGCGAAGGCGGCUACCUGGACCAACACUGACACUGAGGCACGAAAGCGUGGGGAGCAAACAGG
rnacentral:rRNA from 1 species